CGUGGCUGCGAAUGGAAUCCGCCAGUACGAACGUCUCGAUCGCGGCGUCCUGACUGCCGCGCUGAACUCGCGACAACAGACCUAUAUAGGCCUCGAUGAUCGUCUGAAGCCGGAUGUUGCGCGCGGCUGCAAUUGUCGGAUCUUCAUCAUCCGCAGACUCGCGCGAUCCGGAAAUCAGAAUUGGCACGGCCGCGCGGAAUU
rnacentral:misc_RNA from 1 species